ACUCAGCCUAUUGAUUUAUGAAUAUUUUAACCCCUCUAAGUAAAUCCCACUUUUAUUCCUUUCCGGGGGUAAAACAGAAUUCUUGAAACUACCGGCUAAACAUUUUCUGUAACAGGAAGUGAAGGUUAGCAUUAAUGGAUUUGUGUUAUCAGGUUGUCCUAAGAUGGCACGCUGUCUCGUAUCAGUUCAGUGACAUAAAUGCUAAAAUGCAGAUUUGAUUUCAGUAAAACAACAUUUUCUACUCUCUCAGCCUUUUUGCAUUUCCUUAUUUUUUAUUUUACCGUACACGUUAUUUCUUUCUCUCAAGAGGUGAAAAAAAUCCUCCACUGAAGUGUUAAUGGAUAAUGUGACACUGCAAUCAACACAUCAGUGAAGGAUUUUUACCCCUCGAGCACGAAACAACAAGCAAAGUUUUCUAUUGACUGUGGACGAUACUCAGACUCUCUCAGGCCCUGUGUGCGUCACAUUUCCUCAUUUAUGUCUGUUUAAGCUCUAAUUCACACGCACUGAGGUCACACGCUCGGUUUGGAGCAUAAAAGAGCAGCAGGACGACCAACACGAGCCACACACACUCCUGAAGGCUGCUGGGAGAGGCACGGGAGGGUGUCUCUGUCUGGACCCGCUUCGCCGUGGGUCUUCAGUCCAGCAUUGCACAACAGCGGCAGCAGAUUUGGAGGGCGUUUGGCUCUGCUCAUCGGCUCUGAACGAGCGGCACCGCGGUGGCUCUGAUUGGCUGCCUGGAUACAUAAACAUCCAUUGAGCGUGCCUUCAGGUGACGGAGAGGUUUAAGUACAGUCGUAUGAUGUGACCACAAGAAAUGCCAAACAGACCCGCGAGUCCAAAGUGGAAGACUUAAAUUGACUCAGAUGACACGAAGCCGUCCAUUAGUGUGUAAAUCUGAAAUCUAAAGAAAACAUCUGUGCCAUCAGCGUGAUGCAGACUUCGCAUCAGGCCUGUCUGAUUCUGCCUGGACAGUUUGUUCCUCAGAGUUUUUCCCUGGAAGCGGAGCGGCGUGCGCCUGUUGUCAGCCGACGUUUGGAAACAAAGCGUGCAGAGAGUCAUCUUUUCUUAACAGACCAUCAACGCACAGCCAGAGGUGAAGUCACUUUUAUGGAAAUGAGGAAGAUGAGAGGAAGUGGGUGGAGCCCAGACCGGCUUCAGACCCGCUGACACCAGCUGAACGGGCACAGAGUGCCCGUGCAUGAGCUCAGGCAUCGAAGCACACAAGCUUUAGCAGUCUGUUUGCCACGAGUGAAUGCACCACGAUGGUCUGAAGGUGGCUGAUGGUGAACCAAGAAGGUGUUGCUUUGUUAGACGUCCCUGUUGUGUGAUUUUAAAAAAAAGAAACAGAAACUAUGACUGUUUAUUUUUGAUGUUCCUCCCUCCAGCCCCAGCUAUAACCCCCCACCCCCCACCCCAAACACCUGGAAACCUGAUGAUCAGUAGUUGGCAUCGUUGGCCUCAGCUGUACCCAGAAUGUUUUUUAAGACAUGAUGUUAAAGCAUGGAGCUAUGAUCAGAGACGCCUUCAUCUUUCUGCAAACAGUUCCUUCAACACAGAGAGGCUGUUGGUUUCACUCGGUUGUGUGAGCCUGUUUAAAAGUCAGAACAUGACAAAUGUAAAUGAUUUCUCUGAUUUAUAACUUUCAUUUUCCUCCAAAUCGUUGAGAUUUCCUGUUGCAUAAAUGAAACUGAAUUAAACGUGUUAAUCUGUUUCUCAAUUUAUUCCCUAAAAGUUUUGGCCCACCCUGUUUGAAUUUAACUGUCAGCAGUUUGGAUUCACUGUGUCUAAAUAUUAAUAUUAUCAUAUUAAUUGUAUUAUAUUUUUAUACUAAUAUAUGAUUAAUAUUUUACUAUAGAUAUUAUGACUUCCUAUUUCUGUGUAUCACUCGUCCAGCCAUAGACUGUAUAUCCAUGAUGUCAUCCAUGAGGGUGGAGUGCUUCAGUGAUGGAGUCGAGUGCUUCAGCAUCUGAUCCGUUAGCCUGAACUGUCACUAAAUAGUAAACUAAACUUUGAGUGAUGUACUGUAAAAAUAAGACUGUAAAUAACAGAUGGAAGUAAACACGUCACCCGCUGGUUUGUGGAGUUCUGUUUGAAAACCAUGAUUUUAAUGUUAUCACAAUUUUUUAAUCCACAGUCUGUGCACAGAGAGCCCGUACUUCACUUAUAUAU